rnacentral:rRNA from 1 species
UACGUAGGGGGCAAGCGUUGUCCGGAUUUAUUGGGCGUAAAGAGCGUGUAGGCGGCCAGGUAGGUCCGUUGUGAAAACUCGAGGCUCAACCUCGAGACGUCGACGGAAACCAUCUGGCUAGAGUCCGGAAGAGGAGAGUGGAAUUUACGGUGUAGCGGUGAAAUGCGUAGAUAUCGUAAGGAAGACCAGUGGCGAAGGCGGGUCUCUGGACAGUUCCUGACGCUGAGGCACGAAGGUCAGGGGAGCAAACGGG